rnacentral:tRNA from 1 species
UAUAAAGUAAUUUUUUACAUUUAAUUUCGACUUAAAUUUAGGGUAUUUUAUACCAUUUAUAA